CGUCACUGGCGGCGUGCUAUACAUGCAGUCGAGCGAACAGAUAAGGAGCUUGCUCCUUUGACGUUAGCGGCGGACGGGUGAGUAACACGUGGGUAACCUACCUAUAAGACUGGAAUAACUCCGGGAAACCGGGGCUAAUGCCGGAUAACAUUUAGAACCGCAUGGUUCUAAAGUGAAAGAUGGUUUUGCUAUCACUUAUAGAUGGACCCGCGCCGUAUUAGCUAGUUGGUAAGGUAAUGGCUUACCAAGGCAACGAUACGUAGCCGACCUGAGAGGGUGAUCGGCCACACUGGAACUGAGACACGGUCCAGACUCCUACGGGAGGCAGCAGUAGGGAAUCUUCCGCAAUGGGCGAAAGCCUGACGGAGCAACGCCGCGUGAGUGAUGAAGGGUUUCGGCUCGUAAAACUCUGUUAUUAGGGAAGAACAAACGUGUAAGUAACUGUGCACGUCUUGACGGUACCUAAUCAGAAAGCCACGGCUAACUACGUGCCAGCAGCCGCGGUAAUACGUAGGUGGCAAGCGUUAUCCGGAAUUAUUGGGCGUAAAGCGCGCGUAGGCGGUUUCUUAAGUCUGAUGUGAAAGCCCACGGCUCAACCGUGGAGGGUCAUUGGAAACUGGGAGACUUGAGUGCAAAAGAGGAAAGUGGAAUUCCAUGUGUAGCGGUGAAUGCGCAAGAUUAUGGAGGACACAGUGCGAAG
rnacentral:rRNA from 1 species